UACGUAGGAUGCGAGCGUUUGUCCGGAAUUAUUGGGCGUAAAGAGAACGUAGGCGGUUUGUUAAGUUUGGGCUUAAAGACCGGGGCUUAACCCCGGGACUGGCUCGAAAACUGGGAGACUGGAGGAUGUCAGAGGAAAGUGGAAUUCCGAGUGUAGCGGUGAAAAUGCGUAGAUAUUCGGAGGAACACCAGUGGCGAAGGCAGCUCGCUGGGACGGUACUGACGCUGAGACGCGAAAGCGGUGGGGAGCAACAGG
rnacentral:rRNA from 1 species